AGCCUUAGUCUCUCACGCCUCAGUUCAGUUCACAGUCAAAUGAAGUCAUGAAUACCUAAUAUCAUAUCACUGACCACUCGCCGCCUUCAACUUCAAGUUCAAGUCAUCUAUGGGAUAUGCAGCAAUAUAUGAAGACAUGGAGUUGAAAGAUUCAUGCGAGACUCGGCAGGUAAACAUAUGUGCCUACUGCCUAUUUCUGUGAUUGUUAAAACUUAAAGGCUAUCUUCAAUUUUGCUAAUAAUUUGACGAACCUAUACUGCUUUAGUGCGUAACAACAUUAAUCAUCAUUUUGUAAAAUAGUAACAUAUAUAAAUAUUUAUUCUCUGGAGCACUUGUAAAUUGUAAAAUAGUAACAUAUAUAAAGAAUUUACUUGUAAAUUGUAAUGGAAUGAUCUUGUAAUUUAUUUCUGAUUUCUGUUAAUACCACACAGCUAUAAGAACUAGGGGAUGGACUCUGGAGCACCGGAGCAGUGCUGACUGCCGAGCAAUUUUCAAGAUUCAAGACUAAACUUCCACUUUCCACUGCUGAGCAUAUUUCAAGCUUUAAUUUCC
rnacentral:lncRNA from 1 species